rnacentral:tRNA from 1 species
GCAGUGGUGACUCAGUGGUAGAAUUCUCACCUUCCUUGUGGGAGACCCAGGUUUGAGUCCUGGCUGGUGUA